UGGGAAUCUUGCACAAUGGGCGAAAGCCUGAUGCAGCAACGCCGCGUGCGGGAAGACAGCCCUAGGGUUGUAAACCGCUUUCAGCAGGGAAGAAACUGACGGUACCUGCAGAAGAAGAUGCGGCCAACUACGUGCCAGCAGCCGCGGUGACACGUAGGCAUCAAGCGUUAUCCGGAUUUAUUGGGCGUAAAGAGCUCGUAGGCGGUUCGGUAAGUCGGGUGUGAAAACUCUGGGCUCAACCCAGAGAGGCCACUCGAUACUGCUGUGACUAGAGUGCGGUAGGGGAGCGGGGAAUUCCUGGUGUAGCGGUGAAAUGCGCAGAUAUCAGGAGGAACACCAGUGGCGAAGGCGCCGCUCUGGGCCGUAACUGACGCUGAGGAGCGAAAGCAUGGGUAGCAAACAGGAUUAGAUACCCUGGUAGUCCAUGCCGUAAACGUUGGGCACUAGGUGUGGGUCUCAACCGAACGAGAUCCGCGCCGUCGCUAACGCA
rnacentral:rRNA from 1 species